GAGGACCUGGGUGAUGUUGCAUCAAGACUGCACCUUAAUUGUGCACCACUGAAGAAUGAGACGUUCCGUGUUUUGGACGUAUGUACGGGGUUGAGCGCUGAUCCAAGAGUUAACGUGAUAUUGAAACUCAUGAAUGGUGAACGGACAUAUAAUGGGUUGACAGGCGAUGUUGCAGUUCCAGUUCGCGACGAAGCCCAUGAUGUCAAUACAACAUGUUGUGUGGUUGGUCCUGGAACAAACUGCCUCGACCUCUCCCAACGACAACGGACAGCCGUAUGUUCACGCCCAGGUAAACCUAAAGCGAAUCCUCACAUGCGUUCGACAGGUCAUGCAGAUGAACCCACGUUGAGUGGUGUAGUAGUCAUCGUUGUUGGUGUGAUGUUGGCGGUUAGAGGCUUGUGAAUUACCUUGGCUUACCUCUUUUGAAGGAAGAUCGGACGAUAUUAUACGAGUCCGUAUGAACACCUGGCAAUGGAGACAAUAAAACGGUCCUAAAUGAUAUCCACAUGUUGCUUAAUUUGUCUUGCCUGAGGUCGUCCAAAGACAUAAAGUCACGCUUGACUUCAUCAGUGUUCCAUUCACGUCAUGGCGUGGUAGUUUGAUUGGAAGGUUGCCUGAAGGGACACGAUAAUUAGACAUUACCGCUUUGUGAAACACACGAUUAGUUGAAUGGCGCUGACCAAACAAACGUAAACGAUGGGACGCAACGUGUUACAUUGAUGACCUCUGGUUCCGAGGCGACUUAAUGGUUGAAUUUAAAAUAACGAGCAGAAGGUACUGCUAAAAUGUUCUGAGAGGGUGUCUUCCGAUUUAUGAGAAAUUCUGGAUAAAGUGUCACAAACUU